GAUGAACGCUGACAGAAUGCUUAACACAUGCAAGUCGAUGGGGAAGUGGUGCUUGCACCCUGGCAACCAUGGCGGACGGGUGAGUAACGCGUAAGGGACUUACCUGCAGGACUGGGAUAACAGGGGGAAACUCCUGACAAGACCGGAUAAUGUCAUGGAGCUGCAUGGAUUUAUGAUGAAAGGAGACGCCUGCGGAGAGCCUUGCGUCCUAUUAGCUAGUUGGUGAGGUAAUGGCUCACCAAGGCGAAGAUAGGUAGCCGGCCUGAGAGGGUGGACGGCCACAAGGGGACUGAGAUACGGCCCUUACUCCUACGGGAGGCAGCAGUGGGGAAUAGUGGACAAUGGGGGCAACCCUGAUCCAGCAAUUCUGUGUGCACGAAGAAGGUUUUCGGAUUGUAAAGUGCUUUCAGCAGGGAAGAAGUAAGUGACGGUACCUGCAGAAGAAGCGACGGCUAAAUACGUG
rnacentral:rRNA from 1 species